GACGAACGCUGGCGGCGUGCUUAACACAUGCAAGUCGAGCGGAAAGGCCCUUUCGGGGGUACUCGAGCGGCGAACGGGUGAGUAACACGUGAGUAAUCUGCCUCUGGCUUUGGGAUAGCUUCGGGAAACCGAAAUUAAUACCGGAUAUGACACGGUUUCGCAUGAGAUCCGUGUGGAAAGUUUUUCGGCCAGGGAUGUGCUCGCGGCCUAUCAGCUUGUUGGUGGGGUAAUGGCCUACCAAGGCUUCGACGGGUAGCCGGCCUGAGAGGGUGACCGGCCACACUGGGACUGAGACACGGCCCAGACUCCUACGGGAGGCAGCAGUGGGGAAUAUUGGACAAUGGGCGGAAGCCUGAUCCAGCAACGCCGCGUGAGGGAUGACGGCUUUCGGGUUGUAAACCUCUUUCACCACCGACGAAGCGCAAGUGACGGUAGGUGGGGAAGAAGCACCGGCCAACUACGUGCCAGCCGCCGCCGUAACAC
rnacentral:rRNA from 1 species